UUUAUUGAUGUAUAUGUUGAUAUGUAUAAUGAUAAAUGGAAUUUGUUAGUUCCCAGUAGGCACACAAUAGAUUUAGAAGGGGGGUUGAAUAGAUCCUUUUAAUUUUCAAAUACUUUUCUCUUUUAUUUUGUGUUGCUAAUGAAUUAGCAUAUGACAAACAUAAGAAUCUUUUCAAGUACAACAGAAAAAGUAAAAGAUCCCCUUUAUUGAUAUAUUCAUAAUCAUACAUACAUUGUUCUUAGAGUUAGUUAAGUUGUAAGCAGUUAAUACAUACAUAGCAGUUAUAGCAGUUAGGUACAUAAUAUAAAUGACAUAAAAUAAAUGACACAAGGGAUUUUAAGUUGUUCAGAGACUCAAGCUCCUAAUCCACUCGUUUGCUUUCAACUAGCAGGAUUUCCACUAAGGAAGGGCAGCACCCUGAAUCACUAAGAUUCUUUCAAGGCUAGCAGCCUUGGAACUUCAGUUCACUUAGAACUCUUCAAGGCCAGCAGCCUUGGAACUCCUCUAGUUCCCUAAGAACUCUUCAAGCCCAGCAGGCUUGGAACUUUAUUUAGUCCCUCAGGACAAGUGUGGCGACCUCAAAUCCGGGUACUUGCAACCCGAACUCGGUUCUCCACGAUACCAUUUCUUUAAGCUGAAUAAUACUAAAUAAUAAUACAUUCGAACUUAAUUUACAUACAUCAAAGUUUACUUCCCCAGGUACGUGACCUUCAAAUACAUUCC
rnacentral:lncRNA from 1 species